rnacentral:tmRNA from 1 species
GGGGCUGACCGGUUUUGACAGCGUGUAGAAGAGGUCAGUAAGCAUGCAGAGCAACGGUGGCUGCACUCUUAAAAAUCCGACACCGAAAAUUCAAAUGGCGAAAACAACUACGCUCUCGCUGCUUGAUUGAAGUACAGUAGAUCAGCUUUAUCCGCGUAACAGUUACGCAGGACGAGACAUCGCCCGAGAGUCCUGGACCCGAGACUCCUCGACACGGCGGUGCAGCAAAAUCGGGUAUAGGCGCGGCCCUGCUCCGCGGCAGCGCCGAAAAAUUAGGAGCUAAGGCGUCCGGCCGGGCGUUUCGACCCAACCGGCGCACGAAAACCAACUCGAAACUAAGCAUGUAGAAAGCUCGCUGAUUCCGCGUUUGGACGAGGGUUCAACCCCCUCCAGCUCCACCA